rnacentral:rRNA from 1 species
GGACUACUGGGGUAUCUAAUCCUGUUUGCUCCCCACGCUUUCGCACCUCAGCGUCAGUACCGGGCCAGUGAGCCGCCUUCGCCACUGGUGUUCUUCCGAAUAUCUACGAAUUUCACCUCUACACUCGGAGUUCCACUCACCUCUCCCGGACUCAAGAUUGCCAGUAUCGAAGGCAGUUCUGGAGUUGAGCUCCAGGAUUUCACCCCCGACUUAACAAUCCGCCUACGAGCGCUUUACGCCCAGUGAUUCCGAGCAACGCUAGCCCCCUUCGUAUUACCGCGGCUGCUGGCAC